UACGUAGGUGGCAAGCGUUGUCCGGAUUUAUUGGGUUUAAAGGGUGCGUAGGCGGUUCCUUAAGUCAGUGGUGAAAUACGGCAGCUCAACUGUCGAGGUGCCAUUGAUACUGCGGAACUUGAGUACUGAUGAGGUAGGCGGAAUUGACGGUGUAGCGGUGAAAUGCUUAGAUAUCGUCAAGAACACCGAUAGCGAAGGCAGCUUACCAAGCAGUAACUGACGCUGAGGCACGAAAGUGCGGGGAUCAAACAGG
rnacentral:rRNA from 1 species